rnacentral:rRNA from 1 species
CCUUACGCCUAGGGCUGCACACGUACUACAAUGCCCAGCACAAUGAGAACCGAUACCGUGAGGUGGAGGCAAUCUGUAAAACUGGGCCCAGUUCGGAUUGGAGGCUGCAACUCGCCUCCAUGAAGUUGGAAUCGCUAGUAAUGCCGUAUCAGCUACGACGGCGUGAAUACGUUCCCGGGUCUUGUACACACCGCCCGUCACAUCAUGGAAGUCGGUCGCACCCGAAGUAUAUGCGCUAACUCCUCGGAGAAGCAGUAUCCUAAGGUGAGGCUGGUAACUGGGAUGAAGUCGUAACAAGGUAGCCGUAGGGGAACCUGCGGCUGGAUCACCUCCUUU